rnacentral:rRNA from 1 species
CUUGUACCUGGUGGCGAGCGGCGGACGGGUGAGUAAUGCCUAGGAAUCUGCCUGGUAGUGGGGGAUAACGCUCGGAAACGGACGCUAAUACCGCAUACGUCCUACGGGAGAAAGCAGGGGACCUUCGGGCCUUGCGCUAUCAGAUGAGCCUAGGUCGGAUUAGCUAGUUGGUGAGGUAAUGGCUCACCAAGGCGACGAUCCGUAACUGGUCUGAGAGGAUGAUCAGUCACACUGGAACUGAGACACGGUCCAGACUCCUACGGGAGGCAGCAGUGGGGAAUAUUGGACAAUGGGCGAAAGCCUGAUCCAGCCAUGCCGCGUGUGUGAAGAAGGUCUUCGGAUUGUAAAGCACUUUAAGUUGGGAGGAAGGGCAUUUACCUAAUACGUAAGUGUUUUGACGUUACCGACAGAAUAAGCACCGGCUAACUCUGUGCCAGCAGCCGCGGUAAUACAGAGGGUGCAAGCGUUAAUCGGAAUUACUGGGCGUAAAGCGCGCGUAGGUGGUUCGUUAAGUUGGAUGUGAAAUCCCCG